CGCAUUGUUUCCAGACUGCUUAACACAAUGAAUCCAAUGAUUUUUGAAACUGAAAAUGAAUACAAAGGAUUCUCGAGUAAUCCAGCCUACAUCAAUCCCGAAAAUGGUAGCUUCACAAUUGACCUUCACAAUAGUUCUAUGGCUGUUUCGGUGUUCAGGCGACUCAGUUGUAAAAACUAAGCAAUGAGGAACAAGAAUCCUCUAUUAAUGAACAACUAUCAUUUGUGAAAAGUGAGCACAUGCGAUCACCAUCGUUCCAAGUAUACCCCAGCUAUCUACAUGCCGGGAGCCAGCUAUAGACAUGCUGAAAGUAUUAAUGAUGCGAUAAACCAGAUCUCCCAAAACUCCAUCCCAAUCAUUCUCAUUGAUAACGCAGGAAGACAUAACAAACCACAAAUAUAACACCCAAAAAUUGGGAACUAAUCAACACACGCCAAAAGGCGAGACAGAAAAAUUCAAUCGGACCUUUGAUUUCAAAAGAUCUGAUUUAUUCAGAAAACAAUCAAGUCCACGCUCAAAUCCGAAACAGAUCUGAAAAUAAAACUCGAUUGGAAUCUUCGAGAUUUAAGCAACACUCGAUUUUAUUGAAAAACAAAAAACUAGUAAAUAAUGGAGAAGAUGGGAGAUCGAAAAUGAUUUGGUGGAUGUAGAAGAUGAAGGUGAAGAAUGGAGAAGUUACGGCUAAUUUUGGGAGUCGACUCUCAAAACUCUAAUUUGAGAGAGAACGGGGCUUGGAAGCUUAGGAAUGGCCUUCUUACAUGAGAAGAACUUAUUAAACACAUGAGAAAUAAAAUUAAGAGUGAAACUCACCUCAUCCGCUCGCAGUCUACAAUUAGUACAAAUUAGCCAUCGCAGGAACUGCAAAGUACUUGAGUAGAUCAGUUAAAAUACAACAAAAUCGAUAAUAAUCCCUACUACCUAGCAGUUCUUAACAGUUGAAAUUUUAUCAUUUUCAAUCCCCACGUCCUCCCUUCCAUAAGGAUGUUUCAAGAGUGAGAGAGCAAUACCACUGGGACAAAGGCCACGCUGUAAAGUGAAGAACAUUACGCGGUUUAAAGAUCACACAAAUUCAAGCACUCAUAGUUGCAGAUAGAAAUCUUCAUCAUAGGGGGCUGGAGAGAGAUUUAGAGCCUGUUUGGGACACUGUUUCCAACUUUAAGCUUUGUGUAAUAAGUCGGCUUUAAGUCAGAAGCCGACUAAAAAUACAGAAGUUAGUUUGAGGUAUUUUUUCUACAGACUUAAUUUUUUUGAAUUUUUUUUUAAAAAGAUUACCUAUAAGUCAUAAUUCACUCAUAAAACACUUUUAUUUUUAUUAUUAUAUUUUUAAUAACCCAUAAGCUGUUAAUAAGUCAAAAUUAU
rnacentral:lncRNA from 1 species